GGCAGACAGGGAAUGAGGAUCACAUCAAACCAGGUGCAAGCUGCAGGAGUUUCUCUUCAAGUUUCUGACACUCCUCAGUGAUACAGGAAAUCUUCCAAUAGAUUGAACUUACACAAGCAUCGGAAUGGAAUGUAUUGACCACUUCAUCCUGCUUCGCAACAGCUGUUGGUGGAUUUGCCUGCAAUUACCCAUUGAAAACAAAAUAAAACAUUAGUAGAAAUAAGAUGUCA